GAUGAACGCUGGCGGCGUGCCUAAUACAUGCAAGUCGAGCGAACAGACGAGGAGCUUGCUCCUCUGACGUUAGCGGCGGACGGGUGAGUAACACGUGGAUAACCUACCUAUAAGACUGGGAUAACUUCGGGAAACCGGAGCUAAUACCGGAUAAUAUAUUGAACCGCAUGGUUCAAUAGUGAAAGACGGUUUUGCUGUCACUUAUAGAUGGAUCCGCGCCGCAUUAGCUAGUUGGUAAGGUAACGGCUUACCAAGGCGACGAUGCGUAGCCGACCUGAGAGGGUGAACGGCCACACUGGAACUGAGCCACGGUCCAGACUCCUACGGGAGGCAGCAGUAGGGAAUCUUCCGCAAUGGGCGAAAGCCUGACGGAGCAACGCCGCGUGAGUGAUGAAGGUCUUCGGAUCGUAAAACUCUGUUAUUAGGGAAGACCAAAUGUGUAAGUAACUAUGCACGUCUUGACGGUACCUAAUCAGAAAGCCACGGCUAACUACGUG
rnacentral:rRNA from 1 species